GACGAACGCUGGCGGCGUGCCUAAUACAUGCAAGUCGAACGCAGUGGCGGACGGGUGAGUUACACGUGGGUAACCUACCCUCCACUUCGGGAUAAGCCUGGGAAACUGGGUCUAAUACCGGAUAGUGGGGGUUGGGCCCGGGGCCUAUCAGCUUGUUGUUGGGGUAAUGGCCUACCAAGGCGGCGACGGGUAGCCGACCGUAGAGGUGGAUCGCCAAAACUGGGAGUGAGACACGGCCCAGACGCCUACGGGAGCAAGCAGUGGGAAAUAUUGGACAAGGGGCGCAAGCCUAAUGCAGCACUGCGGCGUGUAUGAAGAGGGCCUUAGGUUUGUAAACUACUUUCAGCGGGGAGGCGUUAACCGCAGAGAAAGCACCGGCUAACUACGUGCCAGCCGCCGCGGUAAUUC
rnacentral:rRNA from 1 species